GCUUCCAUAGGAUAACAGUCCAUUCCGUUGGUCUUAGGAACCAAAGACUCUUGGUGCAAAUCCAAGUGGUUGCU
rnacentral:tRNA from 1 species